AGCACCCAGGGCUCCGGCUUUUUAUCUUACCAAAGAGAGGGAUGGGGCUGACUUGAUCAGAGCAUGCGAGGGCGYGCGCGGGGAGGAAACCCUGGGCACCGGGAAACCUCUUUAAUCCAUCAGCGAAAGGCGCAACGAGAAGCCGAAGCUGGGAGCAGAAGCCAGAUAAAUCCAAAUUAGAAACUAGGCCCCCACUUAAUUUUUUUCUUUUUUUUAGAUCAGCAGGAGCAAUUAGCCGCCGAACCAAGCUCCCGGCGAAGCGAUGUGGCCUCAUCUCCUGACGUCUGUCCGAUCGAUGCCGGGUAAUACGCUUCGGCUGAGCAACUCGAUCCCGGUGUAGGAGAAAACCGAGCGGGCCGAGCGACGCGGGCAGUCGGAUCAAGCAACGCGGCGACCCCUUCCAGCCUUUGCCCUGCCCGUAAGUGGUCCGCGGCUCCGCGCUCCAUCCAGGCUCCGUAGGGAUCAGCUGGCAAAUGCAGGUGCGAGGCAGAAAACGGAGCUUUCUCGUGCCGGCUUCGAGGAUGCUGCAGCUGAAAACGCCGUUUCCAGGCCGCUCGGUGCGGGAGAAAGCCAUUUGCAGCUUCUCCCGGCGCCUUCAGCUGAGUGAUGGGUGCUGCUGCAGGAAAAGGGGAGAUUUUUCCCAAGGUCGCACGUGCCGGCGGGCGACGGCGCUUGCAAGAAAAACUAUUGGAAUGGUUUUAAGCAAUUCUUCUUACUGGGGAGCUGAUAAGGUUGAUUUACAGCAACCCAAUGGAUGCCGAGAGGGCGAAAAGAUACCGGAGCAGCGCUUGGUUUCAGGCCUCGCCUUGGAGCGGAUGCUGAUGCCAGGAGGAGCAUCGGGCCACGAUGGCUGGAAAAAGAAAGGUUUGCCUGCUUGGAGGAGGGGGGCCCUGGCCUGUGUGUGA
rnacentral:lncRNA from 1 species